AGAUGACAAGCAGAAGGUGAGCUGUCUUUUUGCCUGGCCACUCUACAAAGGGAACGCCCGUGCCCUUCACACCCAAGACAGAUUCAGGCACAGGCUGAAUCUAGCUAGGAUAGGGACCUGAUCAAGGACAUUCUCACUGCCCAAAGGGUUGACUGGGCUGCUGCAGUGCUGGGAUCCUCUGCCUGAGAAACUAUGAUCUCUGGACAGGUCAGUUUCCUCUAGCUGAGCUAAUGUUUAUGGUUCUGUCUAUUCUAGAAAAUGGGACCCUUAUCCUUUCUGCUUCUGGUAAGAUCUUUGCCCUAUCUUGAGGGAGGGAUUGGGAGCACUUCUUGCUGAGUCAGCACCAACUGCAUGUAGUAAAGAAUGCUCAGCUACUAGCAAUAAUGUCUUGAACUCAAUUUUUCUGCCUAGGUCAGUUGGAAGCUGAUUCUGGGCUGAGGGUGGCCACCGGGUGGACCAACCUCAGCCCUGGUUCCUUUGAAUACAGUAAAUGACAAAGUUCACCCUUCAGCCCUGCUCCCUCCCCUUUCUCACUGAAACUUCAGUUUUCUGGGCUGAGCCCCCAGGCAGAAAUUCUGUUCUCCUUCCUUCUUGAGCUGGAUGUUGGCACUGCCAAGUUCUGCCGGGGUUGAGCGCCAGGUUGGCAAGGUAGCCCAUGCCCCUUGAUCAGAACCAGCUGGGCAUACAGAAGUUGGACAGUCUCUUUCCAGGUCCGGUUCCCUCUAACGACUUUUACUUACAGGAACCUCAGUUCUGUACCCAAAGACAGUCCCAGCUACCUUGUCCCAGCCCAGCUUCCUCUCCUAGGAAGUCUCAGAGAGUCUCAGAUAGUAGAGAAUUGCGGGAAGCAGGACCAGGAAGGACAGGGCUCUUUAGCAGUUUUUAAUCUCCCUUUGGGAGAAGCAGGUGCCUGGGAACUGUGGAAGACUCAGGAUGCUGGGAAGAGACAGAGCCAGCGCCUCUACUGUAAAUUGGAAGGGAUUUAGGGAUUGGGAAGUAGGAAGCCGGGAAGGCAGAAGCUAAUGGAGUUACUGCUGUUUCUCAGAAAGAAGAAAGUCCCCUUUGGGGUUGGGCUUGGGAGCGCGAGGGAUCCCCCCCCCCCCGUGGGAAGGGAAGAAUUGAAAACCAUCGAGAGGCAAUAGACUGUUAGUCAGGGUCUGCGGAAGGUCCUACCUGCAGGUCGGUCCCAUAGAAGGCAGCCAUGGACGCAUCAGCCACCAGAAGUGUUUCCACGAAGCGAGCCUCGGACACAAACCUCUUGCUUCUAGUUUUGGAUCCGAAGGGUGGUGGCACUUUGCGGGAGUCUUCUGUCUCUUUGAGCAACCCCUCCUUGUCCUGCUUCCUGUCCUCUUCGUUGUCACUUCUCUCCUGUCCCUGCCCAUUACCCAUCUCCACCUCCCACUCCAGUCCUUGAGGGAGGGGGAAAACUUCGGCGGCAGCGAGCCCGGGGUCUUCGCGGCGCUGUCCCGGCCCCCAGCGCUGCAGGCGAUGAGGCUGGUCCAGGGAGUCCCCAGCGCCCUGUGGCUGGAUGGUGAACUCCUCGCCUGCCAGCAAGAACGAGCCGCUCAGCCCGCGACACAGGCUCAUCGCCGCCAGCGACUCCCGUUCUCCAUUCACUGUGCCAGAGAAGAAGCAGCCACGCAGUCCCGGCUCGCCCCCGGCCGCCGCGCUCGAGCCCCCGAGGCGCUCGAUCUUGAAUUCCGGCGCCAGGAAGCUGGCGUCAGGCGCCAGGCGCAGCACGAAGCCCUGGCCGAAGGCGGACAGGUGGAAGGCGAGCUCGCUCGCGCUGCCGGGCAACCGCGUGGGCACCACUAGCUCCGAGGCCUGCGCCCCGGUUCCCGGCCCCGCCGGGGCGCCGCAGACGAGUGGCGGCGGCGGCAGCUGCAAUAGCAGCAGCAGGAGGGGCGGCCACCCGGUGGUGGUGGGGUCGCGGAGCAUGGGGGCAGAGUGCUGCGGAGCGCGGGAGAGGGAAGAAGAUCGCCGCGCGCGGGCAGGUGCUGGUGGCCCGAGGCGGCCGGGCCGCUCUGUCCAGGAAAAAUGAUCAAUCGGAUGGGGAGGCCGACUCGGCUAGCGGCAGCAGGCGCGGCGGUCCCCUGGCGGCCCCUCUGGAUCGCGCAGCCCGCUCCUCCUGCGCCAGCCAACCUAGCAGAACUCGAGCAGCUGGCGCCCCGGGCCGCGAGCGCGCGUCCUCCGCGGCGUCCCGUGCAGUCGCCUCCUUCCUCGGGAAACACCGAGUGGGCUGCCGAGCCCUUCGUAUUUAUACUUCCUUCCCGGCUUUGACAUAAGAGGUUUAUUUUUGAUCGCUCACUAUUCCCGUUUCCCCUCCCCUGGGGUCAGAGACAGAAACAGAAAAGGAGAGGAGGGGAAAAAAAAGGGAUGAAAUGUAAAACCAAUCAGGAGUCAGUGAGCCCCUCCCGAUAGUUAAGUAGUUAAGUGUCAACUACAGCUUUUUUUUUUUUUUUCCUUUUUACGUGACUACGUGAAGACCCAUGCCAAUUCCUGUAAUGCUGGACAGUCCCCCUGAAGGCGAGUCCUAGAUGGGAGAGACACUGGCUUCUUCUUGUGCAAGAGCCAGGUGCUGGGGACAGACACACCCUGCUCUGGCCUCAGAGACAGUAUGCAGAUUUUUGUACAAACCUGGCAGUGUUAAAAGAGGUUUGUGGGAAGGUUCCAAAGCCUUUAAUGGUCAAAUACAAAGUGAGAGGUAGGAAAGUCAUACUGGAAUCACGCUGUCCAUUAGGAGCACUUCAGAACUUUAAAAAUGCCACCUGGUCAAGGUUGUUUUGUUGCUUGCUUCUGAGCAUAGUGGGGGUAGUGAGAGGCUACUACCAGGAAAGUAAAAUGGAUUCAAUACCACUACAUUUCUCGUUUCCUAUGGGAGGAAGUACUUCACCAGUCUGUCUUCUGAUGCACAGCUCUGCCAGUUGCCUUGCUGACACGGGGAAAGGUGGCCAGGUCCCUUAUACUGUAUUGCCCACAGCUCCAAAUACAUCUAAAUAUGUGGGGAGAUAAUUCACUCUGCCACCUUCCUACAGAAGAGAGUGGGAUCCAGCAAGAGUGAUGACCGUCUUAAGACCACAAACCACAAUCUUUGUAUCCACUCUAGUAUUACCGGUGCAGGUCUAGAUUGGAUUCAGAAUCAACGUUCUCUCAGUACCAGAACAAGUCCUAGCCCCUCGCCCUGUGUCUUUUCUGAGACAAUCAUGGAGGAUACAGCAUUUGGCAGCUCACCUACCCCCAACUACGCAGCUCUUUGCUUAUGUGAGGGUGCCUACAGUUGAGUCAUUCUUACUUCGUUUGGCCGAUCCAAUCCAUUUCUGUAGCUGUGAAGGAUUGGCCUAUGCAAAAGACUCCUUGGGACUUGUUACCUACAAAGAGGAGUCUCUUAAAUUAACUUGUGUCACUACAGAACCUAAGGAAAGGCCCCAGCACCGCAAGCUCUCUCCACUUUUAUAGGACUGCAAAGGAGUGGUUGAAUCUCCUUCCUUUGCUGUAUAGAGAAUUGGAAGUUUGGGUAAAACACUCCUAGAGGCAGGGGAAUGGAAAGCAUCUCUGUUUUCUACCAAAAAUGAACAAGAUGCUCAUCCCUCAACAGUUUAAUAUCCCUGGGACAGUGUGACCUGUACGGUUAAAUGAGCAAUCCCUUUUGCCUCAGGGCUGUGGUGACAUUUCAAUUACUGGUCUUAGCCAUUAAGUUCCUUGUUCAGUAUUUUCCAGUGUAUCCUUUUCCUUUUUCUUUUUUCCUGGUUGUUGUUCUUUUCUUUCUUGAAACAGGGACUCACUGCAUAGCCCAGGCUGGCCUCAAACAGGUAUGUGCUGUGACCUCAUGCCUGGCUUUCAACUUCUGGUUUUCCAUAGUAGUUAGGUCCUUCACGUGUGCGAGUGCCUUCUUUCUUCUUUGUGACUACUAUUUUAUUGGAGUGCCCAGCUUCUUCUUUCUCUUUAGAUGUUAGAGGCUAUAACCAGGCUCGGGGAAACUAAGUGUUGCUUGUGUUUUCAUUUGGGAAAUCUCUGGAAAUUGCAGCUGCUACUGUUGUAAAACAGAAAGAACUACUUUGAAGGCAGACACUGAACUGGGCUUCAUCUUUGCCCAAUUUCAUCAACAACUACAACUACAACCACACAAAAAUUGCUGUCUGGCAAACGAUCUUGGGAGCCAGCCUGGCUGCUAGGUAGAGACCUGCUGGAUUCCUCCUGAUGCCCCUGUGGUAACUUCCAGGGAAAUGCCUGCCAUUCGCAAUGCAACCACAAGGUGUCAUCCGUACCUUAGUUAUGCUUAAUCCAAGCCUUGCAGGGAUGGCGGAUGACUUGCAGAGAGGACUCUGAGAAGCUUGGUUGGUGAAGUCCAUACAGCAAAACAAACACUAUCCCAGCCCACCAUGGAAAAUCUCAAAUGGGCCGAUUUUGGAGUUCCUACAUUAACGUCUUGAGCUUCAAAGAAUAUAAAGGCUUGACAAACUGCGGUGCAUGGACUAAGACUGCUUCUGUAUAUUCCAUGUGCUAAAGAAAAAUGUUUUACAUAUUUUAAGUGGUAAAUGU
rnacentral:lncRNA from 1 species